ensembl:lncRNA
AGAAUGACAAUUAAUUGUGUAAUUGAUUUUAUUUUAAUGAUUUUUUGAAUCUCCCUCACCUCUUGUAGCUUCUCCUGCAAAUGGAUAAUGCCUGGCAGAAUUUGGGGACUAUUAGGAAACUAACAGUACAUUCUGCAUUAGAUGACGAAUGGCUUGUAUGAUUUUCCAGCUGAAGUAUGCAUAGCUGUGGAACAGUUAAAUGCUUAAGAGAUGCUCUUCAGACUGUCUAUAGCUGGUGUCCAGUUUGGCUGCUGUGGUUGCUGUUUCCCAACAAGUGAACUGAGACUCAGGACGUGCCAGCAGGGAAGAAGGGGACAAAACAUUCACAUACUAAUAGCUCAUACAACUGAAGAGGAAAAAGCUCGGCUCACUCGAACCACGUAAAUGGAGAGUGACAACAAAAGCUCCAACCUGGGAUGUUUGCAUGGACUCACAUGUACCAGGACUGAAGAAAGAGAGGCGAGGCCAGCUAACACUUGCAUGCGAAGCCUCUGGGGAAGGAGACCUGGCAAAGGAAGGCGAGAGCUGAAGGGCAGUGGAUGACUCCACCAAUAAGGAGAAGACAGGUGCCUGGAAGGGCCUGUCACUCGGAAGGGGAACUGGACAUGGGAAGGCAUGCUGCACCAGCUGGAGAGGAUGGCCACAGCCCUGUGCAGAGGUAUCCUAAGCAUCCUCCCUGAGACCGUGCAGGGCUGAGCUCCAUUAACUAAGGGCAGAGAGUAACUGGCAAAUCCCAGCCUGAUACAUAUAUAAAUAUAGCAGUCAGCUCAGAGCAGGUGGACUCUUUGGCGUUCAGGCGGGAUGGGUCUGAUGGGUCUGAUUGCAGGAUUGGUUGUCCUUUAUUAAGAAUUUAUUUAGAUUUAUUUUUUGCAAUGCUUUAUUAUUUAAAUGUUGCUUGUGUAUAUCAGAAGAAGAAAACAAAAACCCCUGUACACUUCAGUGUGUUCUUACAACAC